CCCUUAGAUGUUCUGGGCCGCACGCGCGCUACACUGACGAAUGCAACGAGCUUAUAACCUUGGCCGAAAGGUCUGGGUAAUCUCCAAAUUUCGUCGUGAUGGGGAUAGAUUAUUGCAAUUAUUAAUCUUCAACGAGGAAUGCCUAGUAAGCGCAAGUCAUCAGCUUGCGUUGAUUACGUCCCUGCCCUUUGUACACACCGCCCGUCGCUCCUACCGAUUGAAUGGUCCGGUGAAGCGUUCGGACCGUGGCCUUUGGACGGUUCGCCGUCUGUUGGCUGCCGGAAGUUCGUUAAACCUUAUCAUUUAGAGGAAGGAGAAGUCGUAACA
rnacentral:rRNA from 1 species